UAAAAAUUUUUGUAGUUUGUAUAAUUUAUUUAAAGUUUAUUUUACAUAUAAAUUUUAGUGUUAAUAUUAAUUUAUUUAAAUAAUAAAUUUAAUAGUUAUGUUAGUAAUUAAUAUUAAAAUAUUUAAGAAAUUAAUAUUUAGUAAUAUUUAAAUUAAUAACUAAUUUUGUGCCAGCAGUUGCGGUUAAACAAAGAUUAAAUUAAAUUUUAUUAGUAAAUUAAUUAAUAAAUUUAAAUAUAAAAAUAAUGUAAAUUUUAAAUUAUUAGGUGAAAUUUUUAAUUUAAUAAAAUAUUAUUUAAAUUUUAUGAUUUAAUAAAUUUUUUUAAAAACUAGGAUUAGAUACCCUAUUAUUAAAAUUUUAAAUUUAAAUACUAAAAUAGUAGUUAAUUAUUUAUUGAAACUUAAACAAUUUGGCGGUAUUUUAGUUCAUUUAGAGGAAUCUGUUUAAUAAUUGAUAAUCCACGAAUAAAUUUACUUAAUUUAUAAUUUUGUAUAUCGUUGUUAAAAAAAUAUUUUUUAAUAAAAAUAAUAUUUGAAAAUUAUUAAUAAAAUUAAAUCAGAUCAAGAUGCAGAUUAUAAUUAAGAAUAUAAUGGAUUACAAUAAAUUUAUUUAAAUGAAUAUUAAUUUGAAAAAAUUAAUUGAAAUUGGAUUUAAAUGUAAUUUUAUUUAAUUUAAUAAAAUGAUUUUAAAUUGGAAUAUGUACAUAUUGCCCGUCGCUUUCAUAUAAUAAUAAGUUGAAAUAAGUCGUAACAAAGUAGAGGUACUGGAAAGUGUUUCUAGAAAGAA
rnacentral:rRNA from 1 species